rnacentral:hammerhead_ribozyme from 1 species
AUCCAACUGAUGAGUCCCAAAUAGGACGAAACGCGCGUCCAACUGGAU